AUACGGAGGACGCGAGCGUUAUCCGGAUUUAUUGGGUUUAAAGGGAGCGUAGGCGGGAGCUUAAGUCAGCGGUUAAAUGGUGCGGCUCAACCGUGCCCUGCCGUUGAAACUGGGUUUCUUGAGAGUGCAAGAGGCGGAUGGAAUUCAUGGUGUAGCGGUGAAAUGCUUAGAUAUCAUGAAGAACUCCGAUUGCGAAGGCAGUCCGCUGGGGCACGUCUGACGCUGAUGCUCGAAGGUGCGGGAAUCAAACAGGAUUAGAUACCCUGGUAGUCCGCACGGUAAACGAUGAUUACCCGCUGUCGGCGGUAGACAGUCGGCGGCCAAGCGAAAGCGAUAAGUAAUCCACCUGGGGAGUACGCCGGCAACGGUGAAACUCAAAGGAAUUGACGGGG
rnacentral:rRNA from 1 species